CCUUGUAGGUUAGCAGGAAAGAUCUUACAUUCUUGAAAGUCUAUGCAAUUGACGUGGAUGAAGCAAACAAGCUUGAUGAUGCAUUGAGAGCAAUGAGGCUGCAAGAUGGUAGGAUAAGGAUUUGGGUACAUGUUGCGGAUCCUACAUGUUUGGUUAAACGUCAAGGCAUAGUUGACAGGUUAUUGACGAUUGUUGAAUUUUUUUGACAACGUGAUACUUUUGUAAUUGUUAACUUAUACAGUGUCCCUUUUUUUUUUGUCUGCCGCGGGCGGUGCGUCAGCUGGCUUCUGUUUUUCGUUUUGUUGGUUCCACUACCAGUGUACCACCAAGGAAUCCGUUUCAUUCCUUUGUUAUGUAGUAGUUGAGUCAUCACUAUCUUCUCUUCUUUGCUGUUGGGAGCUAGGGAAGCGAAGUUGAUGUUGUCUGGUUGGUGACGACAAAGGUCCUCUCCCUACCGAUCACAUCCACUUCCGUUUCCCUCCGCUCACAAAUUUUGUUACUUUUGUAUUCUUGUAAUUGUUUCACUCUCCUUUUAAUACAUAUAUUUUUGAA